rnacentral:rRNA from 1 species
UACGAAGGGUGCAAGCGUUAAUCAGAAUUACUGGGCGUAAAGCGCGCGUAGGUGGUUCAGCAAGUUGGAGGUGAAAUCCCCGGGCUCAACCUGGGAACUGCCUCCAAAACUACUGAACUAGAGUACGGUAGAGGGUAGUGGAAUUUCCUGUGUAGCUGUGAAAUGCGUAGAUAUAGGAAGGAACACCAGUGGCGAAGGCGACCACCUGGACUGAUACUGACACUGAGGUGCGAAAGCGUGGGGAGCAAACAGG